rnacentral:ncRNA from 2 species
UACCUUAAAUAUAAGCAUACUUUCAGGGAAGUGAGGUGACCUCCCCGCUUGGGCGGGGAGCAUUCCUCCGCAGUCCCGCUACGGUAAUUUCGCCACUGGUGAAUAAGCCCGAAUACUGAAGUAUUGUUUUACCAAGCUACGGCUCUUCGAGAGAAGGAGCGCGGUGGCCGGA